CCCCUCUCCUCCUCAGUCCUCAUCAGUCAUCACACCGUACAAGUCGAUUUCGCUCCCACUCUCCCAGGCUCCCAGGCUCCUCCUCCUCGGCUCCUCAUCACUUCGAUUACCCUCCUAGGCUCCCAGCCUCCUCCUCCUCAGUCCUCAUCAGUCAUCAGUUCGAUUACACUCCCAGGCUCCUCGUCCUCGGCUCCUCCUCCUCUGGACCUCUUCUAAACUUCUGCAAAUCUGCAGCUCUGGCCUCUGGGCUCUGGAAUUCUCGGCUUCUCCAAGACAUCAACAUCAAUUUGAGGCAAUGAUUCAUUGAUUCAAUGUGAAGAUUUCAUGGAUUGAACUCAUUGAAGAAUGAAGAUUUCAUGGAUUGAACUCAUCUUCGUCUAAUCGUCUCAUCGUCUGGUGUUAGAGUAACAUGUCAAAUCAUGAGCCAAAACCGAAGCGAUCAAAAUUCAUUGACUCAUGGUUUAAAAGAACAAAUGUUGAGUCUUCAAGUUCAAAUGUAGUUUCUGAACCUUCCAUAUCCUCUCCAAAUAUUGAUGUUGAACCUCAACCUUCCAUUCCUGAACCACAAAAUAAUAUCAACGGUCUUGAACGUGAUCCUGGAUUGCGUUGUGCCAUAUGGAAAUAUCCAGUGAAUGAGCGUGAUAGUAUUCGAAAAGCCUAUGUUUUGUUGGGUCCAUUUCAACCUCAGUUAGAAUUUCCAUUCACUGAACAAGGGAGUCAACCACGUAGAUUUCAGUUUUCUUGGUUCAAG